CCUACGGGCGGCAGCAGUGAGGAAUAUUGGUCAAUGGGCGCGAGCCUGAACCAGCCAAGUAGCGUGAAGGAUGACUGCCCUACGGGUUGUAAACUUCUUUUAUAAAGGAAUAAAGUGCGGCACGUGUGCCUUUUUGUAUGUACUUUAUGAAUAAGGCUCGGCUAACUCCGUGCCAGCAGCCGCGGUAAUACGGAGGAUCCGAGCGUUAUCCGGAUUUAUUGGGUUUAAAGGGAGCGUAGAUGGGUUUUUAAGUCAGUUGUGAAAGUUGGGGGCUCAACCGUAAAAUUGCAGUUGAUACUGGCAUCCUUGAGUACAGUAGAGGUAGGCGGAAUUCGUGGUGUAGCGGUGAAAUGCUUAGAUAUCACGAAGAACUCCGAUUGCGAAGGCAGCCUACUGGACUGCCACUGACGUUGAUGCUCGAAAGUGUGGGUAUCAAACAGGAUUAGAUACCCUAGUAGUC
rnacentral:rRNA from 1 species